AUUGGCUAGACACUGCCUAAGCUUAUGGGAAUUACAGCCUUUGCUUAAGACUGUGCUAAGUAUGUCAGUAUUAUGCUAAGUGUCUUCUGCACUGGAAGUACACUAGGUUCCCUUUAUGAGAACUUGGGUUGAAGUGAGCUGGAAGCUAGGUGAAUUUGAUGGAAGCCAGGACAAAACCUGUAUCAUCACACCACAAAGAGGAUGUGAAAAACAUACAACACUACUGUUUCCCUCCCUUGCAGAACAAAGGAAAUAAAAUAUGAUGAAGCCUUAGCUGCCUGUGAAAACCCAGCCUUAUAGUAGGACCAAGCAAAGCAGAGAUGCUGCUGCCUUCAGGAGUCCUCCCUGUAUGUGAACAUCUCUCCUUUAUGUGAACUCCUUCAGCUGAGCCAACAAAUGACAGCUUCUACUGAAGAGCAGAGAAGAAAGUGCCACAUCCAGCUCCUCACUUGUCCAAAGAAUGGAUAUACUUUCCUGAUAAGAGCUGAUAAAUCAAUCAAGUGCAUUACUGGGGUAUAUAAAAUUUUUGAAUGAUGUUAUUCAUGAGGUAGCUGCUGAGUUUCUGUGUUCAGGGCAUGCUUGUGACAAGAAGGAAUGAUCAAAGACAGCUCAGGUAUGUGCAGAUCAAUGCUUGAAGUUCCUGACUUUAGUGAACAGUCUCUGAGAAACUGAGCACUGUGCAGGAGAAUAAAUGAGUUCAGGCUUAUUUACGCGCAUUUCAGUUUUUAGAAAGAUUUAAUGAAAUAUAGGUUUGUUUAUAUUCCAUUCUUUACACUUUAACAAUUGUUUUAAUAUGCAUACAUUUAUUUAGCUGUUUGGAAAAGAAACAGCUGCUUGUGGUUCUUGAUUGGCAUAGUUUUAAAGAUAUGAAGUCAAAACCGGAUAAUAAUUUCCUUAAUAUGCUUAUUGAGAUGCAUUCUUUUUGGUAGCUUCUAGUGAGGAAAUAAAUAGCAAAGCAUUUGGAAACACCAGUAAACCUCUGCUUCUGGUGGAAUGGUUUCAGAUUGCUUGAAUUUUGUUGGCUUAAUUUUGUUGUGAAGUUCUGAGUCUGUGACAGUAAGAAUACGUACACAAAUACGUUAAACUUAAUAUCAUGAAACAUAUUUCAUAAAAUCACUAGGUUAUAUGAAUAAAUCAUUUGAACAGUUUUUCAGUACAUUUACUUUGACCAAACUUUGCAACUGCUAUCAGGUCUUGAAUACAAGGGAAGAAGCAUUUCUUCUGUUCCGUAAAUCACUUCCUUCCUUAUACCCACUUUUUUAUUCCCUUUAUUUUAUAUUUCAAUAUGAGAUAGCUACUGAUCCAUAAAAUGACAUAUAUGUAAACUUUGGUUUUAUUACUUCUGCAAAAUUUGACAUUGAAUAUUUGGCUAUUGUGCAUUUUGAUAAAUAGUAUAGCAGAAGCUUUCCUCCAUAACUGAAAUUGUAUUUGAUCUGUUGUAAAUGAAAGCAGAAUCUGGGUUGUUUCAUUAAAGGAAAUGUCUUGCUUUCCUGUGUUAUACAUGAUCUAUUAAGCCUAUGUAAAGUAUUUACUGUCUUCUCUACUGAGUUCACUUUCACAGGCUGUUAGUUUCUAACACGCUACUAAUUCUUAGAUCUUGGCAUUCAUGAUGGCAUUACUGGAUUUGAGAGGGGAAAAUAUUCAGAGAGAAGGAGAUGAACCAUGAGAUUUCCUGUGUAAAGAACUUCUUUUGGUUGUGGGACAGCUACACAAACACCCAUUAAAAUAGAAACUUUUAUAUAAUGUCC